UACGUAGGGCGCAAGCGUUGUCCGGAAUUAUUGGGCGUAAAGAGCUCGUAGGCGGUUUGUCGCGUCUGCUGUGAAAACCUAAGGCUCAACCUUGGGCUUGCAGUGGUUACGGGCAGACUAGAGUGCGGUAGGGGUGACUGGAAUUCCUGGUGUAGCGGUGGAAUGCGCAGAUAUCAGGAGGAACACCGAUGGCGAAGGCAGGUCACUGGGCCGCAACUGACGCUGAGGAGCGAAAGCGUGGGGAGCGAACAGG
rnacentral:rRNA from 1 species